rnacentral:rRNA from 1 species
GACGAACGCUGGCGGCGUGCUUAACACAUGCAAGUCGAACGGAAAGACCCUGCUUUUUUGGGGUGCUCGAUUGGCGAACGGGGGCGUAACACGUGAGUAACCUGCCCUUGACUUUGGGGUAACUUCAGGAAACUGGGGCUAAUACAGGAUAGGAGCUCCUGCUGCAUGGUGAGGGUUGGAAAGUUUCGGCGGUUGGGGAUGGACUCGCGGCUUAUGGGCGUGUUGGUGGGGUAGGGGAUGACCAAGGAUUUGCCGGGUCGCCGGCCUGAGAGGGGGAACGGGCACCAUGGGCCUGAGAUACGGCCCAGACGCCAACGGGAGGCAGAAGGGGGGAAUAUUGCACAAUGGGCGGAAGUCUGAUGAAGCAACCCCGCGUGCGGGAAGACGGCCUGCGGGUUGUAAACCGCUGUAGCUUGUGACGAAGCGUGAGUGACGGUAAUGGGUAAAGAAGCACCGGCUAACUACGUG